ensembl:lncRNA
AAAAAUAGUUCUGUGUGUGCAUGGAUAUGUGCAUUUGCACACACAUACACACAUACAUAAGCUUGCCUCAAAAUACACAAGAUGGAUUAGACAUUUCAAGGACUUUCAAAGCAAGGAACAUACACAGAGGAGAAUUUAGAGUGGGAAUGAGUUACCCCCCUCUGAAUUAUUGCAUGGUUGUGCUGUUUGAUGUCAAGAGGCCUUUGCACUGCUCUGGAGUAGAUAUACCAGUAUUUUUCCUCCAAGCUCUGUCUCCCCAUCUGGCUCCACACUUGUUGGACUUGAUCUUUUUCCAACCUGAACAAUUCUAUGAUUCUACAAUUCUAUGAUGAGUAACAAGAGAUUAACUCAAAUGCUUACAUAAUUAAAGUGCUGUUUGAGCAUUUCAAAAUUGAUACUUGCUUGUUCAAGACCUUAUUGCAACAAUUUCAGAUGAGGAUCUUCAGUAUAAAAUACUGAUUUCACUCAUUAUAACACCAGACCAUGACAGAAUUCUCUGACUUAGAUCUGUGCUGAACUUUGGCUUACCUUGAACAAAAUUUAAAUAGCAACAUGUUUUGUUUCCAGUGUAUCUCCAAUUAAUAAAUGCAUUCAUUUGAAAACACUUCACCUCAAGUUCCUCCAGGUCCACCUUUUAAAUAAAGGCCUAUUUUCUCUUCCUGACAUCAUUCGCAGCAAAGACAGAUAGAUUGUGUGCAGAGUUUAUUACAAGAUCGAUCAAGAUAAUUGAGGUAUAAUUUUCUCAGUGAUUUCUGUCAUCAUUUUUAAAGGCAGGGAUGAUUAUGUUUCUCUUUCACCCAUCUGGGAAAACACACAGUGUUCUCAUGUAAUUUGAACAUUUCAGCAAGGAUGUGAGACCAUCUUUUUGGAUGUAACUAAUAGCUCUGCCAUUAGGCCAUCCUCUCUCGAGACUUCAUUUUUCUUACUAAUAAUCAUCAACACUAUCUCUUGUUCAGAAAAA